rnacentral:rRNA from 2 species
ACGCGGGGAAUCUUACCGGGUCCGGACACACUGAGGAUUGACAGACAGUUGUCUUUCCCUCCCUUCGGGGUGGGAUUACAAAAGAUAACAGAUCUUUCAUGAUCAUGUGAUGGGUGGUGCAUGGCCGUUCUUAGUUCGUGGAGUGAUCUGUCUGCUUAAUUGCGUUUCAAAUUUUAUAUUUGUUAACAUGCGAGUCUUCAAUGACGGCCGCUCCACCUUAUAGACAUUAUAUGAUAUGCACAUUUGUGUAUUUGAUUAUAACUUGUCUGGAGUCUGGCUCGAUUUUUUUGACUCAAUUGAACGCAACGGACGUGAUUGCAAGUCCUUGUUGAACAAAUUAUAUAUAUACUACUUCAUCAUUAGUAUAUAUAGUUCGCUUCUCAUGUCGUAGCAGUCAAACGGGCGGGCGUCUUAAUUGGCGCGGUCACGAGGCUUAAUAUGCUGCGGCAGGGAAAACUUGGGCGACCGCUGUAAUACUUCUCUCUUAAACCAGAGGAAGAUUGCGGCAAUAACAGGUCUGUGAUGCCCUCAGAUGUCCCGGGCCGCACACGUGCUACAUUGAUUAGCGCAGUGCGCAUACUUACAUAUAGAUCAUUGAUUGGUUAUUUAUAACCGUCAAUAUCGCCUUGUCUGAAAGGACUAGGUAAUCUAUUGUAAGUGCUGGUUCCUCCUCCCGUUGAGCAUUUUAAUAAUGGUCUCUCUACAUCCCUAGCACAUGAUGUCUAGUGCGAUUGUAGUUGAGUCUUGCCAUUUAUGCAAGUGUCAAUUCUCAGUGGGGACAGCCAUUUGAUAAUUCUUUGGCUCGGCCUCAACUA